UACGUAGGGUGCAAGCGUUUAAUCGGAAUUACUGGGCGUAAAGCGCACGCAGGUGGCUGAGUCAGUCGAUUGUGAAAGCCCUGGGCUUAACCUGGGAAUUGCAGUCGAUACUACUCAGCUAGAGUAUGGGAGAGGGUAGUGGAAUUCCCGGUGUAGCGGUGAAAUGCGUAGAUAUCGGGAGGAACAUCAGUGGCGAAGGCGGCUCGACUGGCUCGAUACUGACGCUGAGGUGCGAAAGCGUGGGGAGC
rnacentral:rRNA from 1 species